GCAGCCUGAUCCAGCAAUGCCGCGUGAGUGAAGAAGGCCUUCGGGUUGUAAAGCUCUUUUGUCAGGGAAGAAACGGUGGAGGCUAAUAUCCUUUGCUAAUGACGGUACCUGAAGAAUAAGCACCGGCUAACUACGUGCCAGCAGCCGCGGUAAUACGUAGGGUGCAAGCGUUAAUCGGAAUUACUGGGCGUAAAGCGUGCGCAGGCGGUUUUGUAAGUCUGAUGUGAAAUCCCCGGGCUCAACCUGGGAAUUGCAUUGGAGACUGCAAGGCUAGAAUCUGGCAGAGGGGGGUAGAAUUCCACGUGUAGCAGUGAAAUGCGUAGAUAUGUGGAGGAACACCGAUGGCGAAGGCAGCCCCCUGGGUCAAGAUUGACGCUCAUGCACGAAAGCGUGGGGAGCAAACAGGAUUAGAUACCCUGGUAGUCCACGCCCUAAACGAUGUCUACUAGUUGUCGGGUCUUAAUUGACUUGGUAACGCAGCUAACGCGUGAAGUAGACCGCCUGGGGAGUACGGUCGCAAGAUUAAAACUCAAAGGAAUUGACGGGGACCCGCACAAGCGGUGGAUGAUGUGGAUUAAUUCGAUGCAACGCGAAAAACCUUACCUACCCUUGACAUGGAUGGAAUCCCGGAGAGAU
rnacentral:rRNA from 1 species